UCCUCCUUAGUGCUAAAAUGGUAAAAUAGGAAAAUGCAAAUUUCCAGUUGAGGCAUACCACCCUCAGGGGGAU
rnacentral:tRNA from 1 species